GCGCCAGACUCCUACGGGAGGCAGCAGUGGGGAAUAUUGCACAAUGGGGGAAACCCUGAUGCAGCGACGCCGCGUGAGUGAAGAAGUAUUUCGGUAUGUAAAGCUCUAUCAGCAGGGAAGAAAAUGACGGUACCUGACUAAGAAGCCCCGGCUAACUACGUGCCAGCAGCCGCGGUAAUACGUAGGGGGCAAGCGUUAUCCGGAUUUACUGGGUGUAAAGGGAGCGUAGACGGCAUGGCAAGUCAGAUGUGAAAGCCCGGGGCUCAACCCCGGGACUGCAUUGGGAACUGGCGUGCUGGAGUGCCGGAGGGGCAGGCGGAAUUCCUGGUGUAGCGGUGAAAUGCGUAGAUAUCAGGAGGAACACCGGUGGCGAAGGCGGCCUGCUGGACGGAUACUGACGCUGAGGCCCGAAAGCGUGGGGAGCGAACAGGAUUAGAUACCCGCGUA
rnacentral:rRNA from 1 species